rnacentral:rRNA from 1 species
UGGGGGAUAUUGCACAAUGGGCGAAAGCCUGAUGCAGCGACGCCGCGUGGGGGAUGAAGGCUUUCGGGUUGUAAACCUCGUUCGCUAUCGAACAAGGCCCGCUUAGGGUGGGUUGAGGGUAGGUGGAGAAGAAGCGCCGGCUAACUACGUGCCAGCAGCCGCGGUAAUACGUAGGGCGCGAGCGUUGUCCGGAAUUAUUGGGCGUAAAGGGCUUGUAGGCGGCUUGUUGCGCCUGCUGUGAAAACGCGGGGCUUAACUUCGCGCGUGCAGUGGGUACGGGCAGGCUUGAGUGUGGUAGGGGUGACUGGAAUUCCAGGUGUAGCGGUGGAAUGCGCAGAUAUCUGGAGGAACACCGAUGGCGAAGGCAGGUCACUGGGCCAUUACUGACGCUGAGGAGCGAAAGCAUGGGUAGCGAACAGG